rnacentral:rRNA from 1 species
CCCUUAGAUGUUCUGGGCCGCACGCGCGCUACACUGACGAUGGCAACGAGUUUUUCCUUCGCCGAAAGGUGUGGGUAAUCUUUUGAAACACCGUCGUGCUGGGGAUAGAUCAUUGCAAUUUUUGAUCUUGAACGAGGAAUUCCUAGUAAGCGCGAGUCAUCAGCUCGCGUUGAUUACGUCCCUGCCCUUUGUACACACCGCCCGUCGCUACUACCGAUUGAAUGGUUUAGUGAGGACUCCUGAUUGGCGCCGCCGCCCCGGCAACGGAGCAGCGGACUGCCGAAAAGUUGUUCAAACUUGAUCAUUUAGAGGAAGUAAAAGUCGUAACA